AGUGAACGCUGGCGGUAGGCCUAACACAUGCAAGUCGAACGGCAGCACAGUAAGAGCUUGCUCUUACGGGUGGCGAGUGGCGGACGGGUGAGGAAUACAUCGGAAUCUACUUUUUCGUGGGGGAUAACGUAGGGAAACUUACGCUAAUACCGCAUACGACCUACGGGUGAAAGCAGGGGAUCUUCGGACCUUGCGCGAUUGAAUGAGCCGAUGUCGGAUUAGCUAGUUGGCGGGGUAAAGGCCCACCAAGGCGACGAUCCGUAGCUGGUCUGAGAGGAUGAUCGGCGACACUGGAACUGAGACACGGUCCAGACGCCUACGGGAGGCAGCAGUGGGGAAUAUUGGACAAUGGGCGCAAGCCUGAUCCAGCCAGACCGAGUGGGUGAAGAAGGCCUUCGGGUUGUAAAGCCCUUUUGUUGGGAAAGAAAAGCAGCAGGUUAAUACGCCGCUGUUCUGACGGUACCCAAAGAAUAAGCACCGGCUAACUUCGUG
rnacentral:rRNA from 1 species